CUUCCAACAUCGAAAACAUCAUAGAAGAUGCAUAUAAAAUUCGUUUUCGAUGAACUCGAGCUUGUCGUGAAGAUGACCAUAAGCUCUGAAACUCACAAAGAGAAACACCAAACAAGAACCAAGAAAUAUGAUGCAAGGGUGCAAAUGGUUUGAGCUCUCAACGAACGAUAUGAUCAAGCUACUCACUUGAGAGCCCCCUUGACAAUACGAGAAUCUAUCCUAAAGUAGAAGAACCUAUCAAGGGCAAACCUAUACCUUGCACCUAGUACUCUUAAGCUAGACGACGAUGAUCUUGGCUUCCUCAAGAUGGACCACUUUUCUUGAUUGCGUUGGUUUGAUGAAGACUAGUUGAUUGCUCCACCAUACUCACUAUGGGUGAGCCACUCUUCAACACAUCUUCAUAAGUCUGUUGCCAC
rnacentral:lncRNA from 1 species